AGACUGUCCGCUGUUCCCAUUGUCCUGCGGGUGAAUGCUUUCUCUUCCUCCCCUGUCCACAGCUGCAUGGAUGAUCUGGUCAGCUGUCUCCUUCCUCGUCCUCUGGCUCAGGUUACAAAGGAGUUUGAAAAUCACGAAGCCUUAACCUUUCAUCCUCCAGAGAAGCAAGCCAAAAUUCAAAGAGGUGGCUAUAGAAAUGGUGUUCUUAUCCCUCACCUACCCAUUGCC